rnacentral:rRNA from 1 species
UACGUAGGUGGCGAGCGUUAUCCGGAAUUAUUGGACGUAAAGAGCGCGCAGGUGGUUGAUUAAGUCUGAUGUGAAAGCCCACGGCUCAACCGUGGAAGGUCAUUGGAAACUGGGGAACUUGAGUGCAGAAGAGGAGAGUGGAAUUCCAUGUGUAGCGGUGAAAUGCGUAGAUAUAUGGAGGAACACCAGUGGCGAAGGCGACUCUCUGGUCUGUAACUGACGCUGAGGCUCGAAAGCGUGGGGAGCAAACAGGAUUA